rnacentral:rRNA from 1 species
UACGAAGGGGGCUAGCGUUGCUCGGAAUUACUGGGCGUAAAGGGCGCGUAGGCGGACAGUUUAGUCAGAGGUGAAAGCCCAGGGCUCAACCUUGGAAUUGCCUUUGAUACUGGCUGUCUUGAGUACGGGAGAGGUGAGUGGAACUCCGAGUGUAGAGGUGAAAUUCGUAGAUAUUCGGAAGAACACCAGUGGCGAAGGCGACUCACUGGCCUGUUACUGACGCUGAGGCGCGAAAGCGUGGGGAGCAAACAGG